rnacentral:tRNA from 1 species
GCCGGUUUGGCUCAAUGGAUAGAGCAUCAGCCUGUGGACUGAAAGAUCCUGGGUUCGAUUCCCGGUCAGGGCA